rnacentral:lncRNA from 1 species
AGACAUUCUUCCAAGUAUCAAGAAAGGGAGCCCUUGCUUCCCUGGAAGACAUUUCGUCAGAGCAAUUUCUCCCCAGUUCCGUGUGACCAUUCAUACUCUGAGCCAGUUUUGGAAAGGAAGUCAUCUCACAUGCCACCUUGGAAGGCAGAGAACUGCAGAUAAUCAGGGAAGACAUUCUUCCAAGUUUCAAGAAAGGGUGCCCUUGCUUCUCUGGAAGGCCUUUCAUCCCUGUAUCCCUCUCCAGUUCCUUGUGACCAUUCCUAACUCUGAGGCAGUUUUGGAAAGGAAGGUAAGUGGUUGGAUUAGGUUACAUGAUGUGCAAGUAAAGGUAGCCGUGUUCUGACUAGAGAGAAGAGGAUGACAUUUUUAGAAUGUUGGUGUCUCAUACCUUGAUACUUAUGUGGCCAUGGUAAAUAGGUACAGGAUGACAACACAGGACUCCAGGGCCAUUUGGGACUCUUCCCUUCCCAUGAGAAAGGAGCUCGAAGGGACAUAGCCUUUUUU